rnacentral:lncRNA from 1 species
AAGGGCCACAGUGGACCUGCUGCUCUGAUGCCUGCAGGCACAAGGUAGGGGCUAGGGUGGGUGAGGCCACUCCAGGGGUCACCAUGGCCACACGUGGCCAAGGGACAGGGACAGAACAAAUCCCUUCACCAGCCCAGGGCCUGUGAGGCAGGGGGACAGCAGCUGCCAGCCAGAGCCCUGAGGGACUGUGCUGGACAGGCAUCUCCUCGGCUGGGCACAGCUGGCCGGCUGGCUUUGCCACAAUCCUCAUCAUCCCUCCCUGCUCGCUGCCCCACAGAUGAAAAUCCCCUCAGCUGAGGGGGUGAACAGGCACAAUGACCAUCUGUCCUCGUUUCUCCUGCUGCAUCCCAGGCCGCUCGAGCUGCACGCCUCCAAUCCCCAAGGAGCCACUGGCCACAGCACCAGGCCAGGCCCCCACUCAGCCCGUGCAAGGACGUCCUCAGCUCUGAGCCUUACUGACGUGCAGCUGCCCCCGCCUACAUCACUGGCCACGCAGCAGCUGUCCAGGCUGCCCUACCGUCUCUGCCUGAGGGCCAGGAAGACCAACCCUGCCCUUCAGGACCCCUGUGGCCAGCCUCAGCUCAGAGUGGGAGGCAAUGAGGCCACCAACUGCCAGAGAGUUCCACUUGGGAAGAGAGGUCCCAGGUCCCCUCACCCACCAGCUGUGACCGAAGCUGGGAAAGCUGGAGGCAGCAAGCCAGGAAGAGUCCACCCAGAAAGGAAGUGUCCCAGCGAUGGGCAGAACACCCGCGUGGUCUUCCAGUGACCGAUGGCAGGAAUAUCAGGAAGGAAUGGUGUCCGGCUCCGGUGAGUUGUGGCUUAAUAUCGUGAAUUCUUAGCCUGUCUUUGUAUUUACUGCUUAACGGGCGGGCUGUGAGGCUGUGGUCAGGUCCCAGCCGCCAGGGAGGGGAGCCUCUGCCCGGUUCCCGGCCGUCUGCUCCUGUCUGUAAUGAGAACGUUUAUUUAUGACUUCAAUUUGGUUUUUAUUGUCAUUCCUGUUUGCUUUUCAGAAUUAGGAGAAGUACAUCAAGCACUCUUCCCGCCCCCACGCACAGAGCAGAUCUUUCCUCAGAUGCGAGGGAGGAAAAGCCUCUCAUAAUCAUGUUGAAUGUUAAUAAUUAAAGUUAAACGGCUCAGUGGAUUGAGUCUCUAUUUCUUGAAAGCCACCUGCUUCAUCACAGGGUGACCCUGCGUGUCAGUUCUCCGUACCUAAAUGACUGGUGAAGUUCAGUUCCGGCAAACUUGGCAUUUCCCAGGAAACUUGGACUUAAUAAGGGUUUCCUUCUGGGUUUCCCAGGACCCUUCAAUACCACAGCCCUCGCUUGGUCUUGACCUGACAUGUUUCCCAAGAGAUGCGUGAGGGUGAGGGGCUGUCGGCGGUUGUCAUGGUUACUGGAACUGCAACCUGCCGUCCAUCUCCCAUUCACCCAGCUCCCUGGAGAGACUUUAGUCCUGUCCCACCACCCCACACUGGGAUCCUUGAUCUGCAGCCCUUCUGGGAAGAAGCCAUGUAGCCCAUCCUCCUGCCCCGACCCCCACACCCAGGAGGGGGAUCUGGGGCCACAGCUGUAGCCCACAGCCAGCUCCUCAGCAGCCCUUUUUUUUUUCCUCAGAAAGCAACUGGCCUUGUAAAGACCAAGUUGUGGGCAUGGGUCAGGGUUAGGCUCCUUUUGUGGCUCCUAAAGGCAAAGCCUUCUGUGGCUGGUGCAGCUCUAAGCCCUUGUAAAAUC